GGCGGGUGCCCCUCCCCCAGCCUCGCUGCGGCCUUGCAGUUUGAUCUCAGACUGCUGUGCUAGCAAUCAGCGAGAUUCCGUGGGCGUAGGACCCUCCAAGCCAGGUGCGGGUUAUAAUCUCGUGGUGCGCCGUUUUUUAAGCCGGUCGGAAAAACGCAGUAUUCGGGUGGGAGUGGCCUGAGUUUCCAGGUGCCUUCGGUCACCCCUUUCUUUGACUAGGAAAGGGAACUCCCUGACCCCUUGCGCUUCCUGAGUGAGGUAAUGCCUCGCCCUGCUUCGGCUCGCACACGGUGCGCGCACCCACUGACCUGCGCCCACUGUCUGGCAUUCCCUAGUGAGAUGAACCUGGUACCUCAGAUGGAAAUGCAGAAAUCACCCGUCUUCUGCGUCGCUCAGGCUGGGAGCUGUAGACCGGAGCUGUUCCUAUUUGGCCAUCUUGGCUCCUCCCCAUGUUCCAGUUCUUCAGUGUCUUGAAAGUUACUGCGUAGUAGCAGUUCCUACUUCAGAAGCUUUCUUUCCUGCCAACUUGUGAAGAAGGUGCUUGCUUCCCCUUCUGCCAUGAUUGUAAGUUUCCUGAGGCCUCCUCAGCCAUGUGGAACGGGAGAGCCAUGGUAACCUGCCCCUGCCUUCUACCUCGUCUCUGUGUGUGGCAUCCUGGAGCCAUGUUUCCACCAACGUCUUGACUGUGGCAGAUCUGAGAAACUCUACAUUAUACACAAAUGUUCUCUGGCCCCAGAGAUUAUCGCAGUACAUUGGGUGAGGGUAAGGGGUGAUGAUUCAGGAAGCCAGAAGGCUUGUGGCAGAAUGUCUUCAUUUUGCUGGAACAUCAUGAAAAACUACCUGAUCAGAGUGUCCAUAUGUAAAGAGUUGUAGCAAGUAUACAUGUGUGAGGAGGAAGUAAUUCUCUUUCAAAAAAUCAAGGAAAGGGAGGCAGGAAAAUGAAGUAAUUAGGAGUGUAAAUAGAGAUUAAGCUACAUUUAUACUUUAGUGUUCUCAUUUCAUACUUGUGUGACUUUGGGCAAGGUACUUACCCCUCUCAUUCUUGGUUAUCUCAUAUGUAAAAUGGUGAUAAUAUUGUCAUUUAGGAUUUCAGAGAAAAUGAAACAAGACAGUGUAUCUAAAGUGCUUAGAUGGUUCCUGACUCCAAAAAGUUUUGGUUUUUAUUAAGAUACUGCAAGCCUGCCUUUGACCACUGAUUACUUCUGCCUGAGUUGGAGAGAAGUCAUGUUUGUAUAAUAUGUGAUACUGCAUAUAUGAACACAGAAUUUCUUAUUAGUCCCAGGAAAUAUAUUUUGGUAGUUAGAUAUUUAAAAAAAAAUUAGAAUUAUUUCUGGGCUAUCCUUUAAGAUAAUAUUUCAAAAGUUACGUACAUUUCAUACUUUAUUUUCUAUUGUCAUUUCAAUUAUUGUUCAAUUGUCUCUCAAACAAGAUUUUUAAAAAUAUACUACCAGUUCAUUAAUUGAAAUAUUUUCUUGAAUAGAGUGUAAAUGAAUAAAUAUAAUUAUUCAAA
rnacentral:lncRNA from 10 species